GUGCCAGCCGCCGCGGUAAUACGGAGGGUGCAAGCGUUAAUCGGAAUUACUGGGCGUAAAGCGCACGCAGGCGGUCUGUCAAGUCGGAUGUGAAAUCCCCGGGCUCAACCUGGGAACUGCAUUCGAAACUGGCAGGCUGGAGUCUUGUAGAGGGGGGUAGAAUUCCAGGUGUAGCGGUGAAAUGCGUAGAGAUCUGGAGGAAUACCGGUGGCGAAGGCGGCCCCCUGGACAAAGACUGACGCUCAGGUGCGAAAGCGUGGGGAGCAAACAGGAUUAGAUACCCUGGUAGUCCACGCCGUAAACGAUGUCGACUUGGAGGUUGUGCCCUUGAGGCGUGGCUUCCGGAGCUAACGCGUUAAGUCGACCGCCUGGGGAGUACGGCCGCAAGGUUAAACUCAAAUGAAUUGACGGGGCCGCACAAGCGGUGGAGCAUGUGGUUUAAUCGAUGCAACGCGAAGAACCUUACCUAGGUCUUGACAUCCAGACGAACUUGCCAGAGAUGGCUU
rnacentral:rRNA from 1 species